rnacentral:rRNA from 1 species
CGGCGUGCUUAACACAUGCAAGUCGAACGAACCUAGCAAUAGGUUAGUGGCGCACGGGUGCGUAACGCGUAAGAAACCUGCCUCAAAGCCGGGGAUACCCAGUCGAAAGACUGGUUAAUACCGGAUAUUAUUAUGAGACUGCAUAGUUUUAUAAUGAAAGACUUCGGUCGCUUUGAGAUGGUCUUGCGUCUGAUUAGGUAGUUGGUAGGGUAACGGCCUACCAAGCCAACGAUCAGUAGCUGGUCUGAGAGGAUGAUCAGCCACACUGGAACUGAGACACGGUCCAGACUCCUACGGGGAGGCAGCAGUGAGGAAUAUUGCGCAAUGGACGAAAGUCUGACGCAGCAACGCCGCGUGUGGGAUGAAGGCCCUCUGGGUCGUAAACCACUGUUGGGAGGGAAGAACGUUCGGGGCAUGGCCCUGAAGUG